AUGGCUUCUAGAGCGAUUUUAAGGAGGAGAAAAUUUAUUUUUGACUACUUGAAUUUUGGUCCUAGAAAUGCAGGAUUUCAAUUGAAUACCCCGUUGAGUGUCACAUUGAUGUCGUAUUCUGUUCGUCUUGCAUCAACGGCUACUGUUAAACAAUCGGAACCGGGUAUUAAUGAUGAGAGAAAUGGAGAAUUGUCUACCAAAAAGAGAAAUGAAGCAUCUGCAGAAGAAUGUCAUCAAGCUGUUGAAGGUUUGAGCACUGCUAAAGCCAAAGCGAAAGCUAAACGAUUACAAGGCUCUAAGAAGGGUGCCAAAUCCGUUUGCAAAGAGUAUGGGCCACAAUUCUUGGGAUUGGUCCUGCUUUAAGAGUUGUAGCUUCUAUGAGCAGGUCAGAUUUUAUCCUUUAAUAGUUUCGUUGGGCUAAGAAGAUUGCUCGCUGGAAACAUGAAAUUAGGUCAACUUUUCAACAUUAUUGGUUGGGUUUUAAGCUACUUUGGGAUGAUAUGAGGAUCAGCUCAAGAUUGCUGCUGAAGCUGGCUGGUGGUAGAAGUUUAUCUAGAAUGGAGAGGCAACAGCUGACUCGAGCUAGUGCUGAUAUCUUUAGGUUGGUUCCGUUUGCGGUUUUUAUCAUAGUACCAUUCAUGGAAUUUUCUUCUGCCUUUUUUCCUGAAACUUUUCCUUAACAUGUUGCCAUCAACAUUUCAAGACAAGAUGAAAAAGCAGGAAGCACUGAAAAGAAAGCUCCAUGCAAGAAUUGAAUAUGCCAAGUUCCUUCAAGAUACAGUUAAAGAAAUGGCAAAGGAGGUUCAAAAUUCAAGGAGUGGAGAAAUUAAGAGGACUGCAGAAGAUCUUGUUGAAUUUUUUAAUAGAGUAAGAUCCUAUCUCACGAUUUCUAAUGAGGAGAUAAUUGGCUUUGCCAAGCUGUUCAAUGAUGAUCUCACUCUGGAUAAUAUCAGCAGGCCUCAAUUGGUAAAUAUGUGCAAAUAUAUGGGGAAUCAGCCCUUAUGGAACAGAUGCAUAUUUGCGUUAUAUGCUUCGAAAGAGACUCCAGUGGAUUAAGAAAGAUGACAAGCUGAUUCAAGGAGAAGGCGUGGAGUCCCUAUCAGAAGCUGAACUUCGUCAAGGGUGUAGGGAGCGAGGCAUGCUUGGAGUGCUCUCAGUAGAAGAAAUUCGUCAACAGCUUCAGGAUUGGAUAGAUCUGUCUCUCAAUCACAGAGUCCCAUCUUCCCUUUUGAUCCUUUCUAGGGCCUUUAUUGUAUCAGGAAAGCUGAAGCCUGAAGAUGCUGUUCGUGCGACCCUUUCUUCUUUACCGGAUGAAGUUGUGGAUACCAUUUUUGUAACAGCUUUACCAUCUGAAGAUCCUGUUUCAGAAAGGAGAAGGAAGCUGGAGUACCUUAAGAUGCAGGAAGAAUUGAUCAAGGAGGAGGAGGAGAAAGAAAAAGAAGAGCUGGAAAGGAUGAAGGAAUCUAAAGAGGAGAAAGAAAAAGAAGAGCUGGAAAGGAUGAAGGAAUCUAAAGCUAGGGAAGCUAAAGAACAGGCUAGAGCAAGAUCAUUGGAAAAACGAGAGCAUCUUUGUGAAAUCAGUCGUGCAUUGGCUGUUUUAGCUUCAGCAUAUUCUGUGAGCUGCGAGCGUGAAGAGUUCCUAGGCCUUGUCAAUAAGGAGAUAGAAUUUUACAAUAGCAUGGUAGAGAAAAAGCGCCCAGAUGGUGAAAAGGAUGUCAUUAAGGCAUAUAGAGCUGCACGCGAGGGAAUUGAUCAUUCCAGUGAAGUGUCUGAAAGUGACGCAGUUUUAUCCACUUGAUUAUUUUUGUUGAAAUGGCAUGAUAGAUGGCAAAAUCUUGGUGAAGACAUUAUCAAAUUGGGCAGUCUGGUAGACGACGACAGGGAAGGAGGAUGUAAAAGUUUGUAAUCCCUUUUCUCUAGCCUUUUAUCUAAUUCUAAUUUCAUUAAUGUUAUUAUUCCUUUUAUCUAA